UUUAAUGUGCCAUAUAUUGACUUUUACUUCGCAAGUGAGAUUAUCUACAUUUCCUUAGGGUGCGUUUGGUUCGAGUUAUCCUGGUAGGAUUACAGACAAUCCUGUCAGGAUAACUGUGUUUGGUUAAUCCGCUAUAUAAUCUAGUAGUUAAUAUAGCAUUACAAAUCGAGUAGGAUUACAUCGAAAAUAUUAACGGGAGGGGGGUCGUUUAUCUUGCAAUACUGAAACAUGUUAAUACUACAUAUUAUGUAAAAUGACAAUUUUACCCUCCAACAACCGCAAAUCUAAUUAACAGCAUUAUUUUUAUCUCUCUCUCACCUUCCCCCUCUCUCUCGCACGCCGCUUUCUCUCGCACGUCUCUCUCUCUCUCUAUCUCUAUCUCUAUCUUUUUCUCUCUCUCGCACAAAUACCUAUCUUCUAUUGCGUCGUCCUCCCAGGUCUUCUCUCCAUUCGUCAUUUCCGCAAACAAUAAUAUUCAAAUGACUACAACAAGGACAAUUUUGAAAAAAACUAUACUUUUAUGUCGGGAUUACUAAAUUUUAUAAACUGAACCAAACGUAUUAAUGCUAUAAACACUGUAAUCUAGUAUUAUAUUACUGCAUUAAACUAAACGCGCUAAUGCAGUAUCAGUAGUAAUCUCAUCCCAAAAUUUAAGACACCUAAAUAUGUUGAGAUAUUUUAUAAUAUUACAUAACUCGAACCAAACAGGCCGUUAAUAACAUGACGCCCUAACCUCAAUAGUUU
rnacentral:lncRNA from 1 species